UACAGAGGGUGCGACCGUUGCUCGGAAUUACUGGGCGUAAAGCGCGUGUAGGCGGGACGAUAAGUCGGAAGUGAAAUCCCCGGGCUCAACCCGGGAACUGCUUUCGAAACUGCCGUCCUCGAGUACCGGAGAGGGUGGCGGAAUUCCUGGUGUAGAGGUGAAAUUCGUAGAUAUCAGGAGGAACACCGGUGGCGAAGGCGGCCACCUGGACGGUUACUGACGCUGAGACGCGAAAGCGUGGGGAGCAAACAGG
rnacentral:rRNA from 1 species